rnacentral:tRNA from 1 species
UUCCUGAUGACUCAGACAGUAAAGGAUCUGCCUGCAAUGCAGGAGACCUGGGUUUGAUCCCUGGUUUGGGAA